AAGACCAAGAGGGGUAUUGUGAGGGCGGCGCGGUUUGGCGGCCGGAGUUUGGGAGCAGCGAGUGCGGAUCCACCAAAAUAACUGUUAACCUAAAAAGUGAACAUGGCUACGUGGUAAUUCUUAACCAAACUAGGGCGGUGGCAAAAGGGACUACUCCUCUAUAACAGGGACAGAAUAGAGAAAAGACUACUGGAUUACACUUCCCCUAAUACUUGGAGUUGCUCUCCAAAAUCAAAUGUAGCCCCAGUUUACACGGGAGAUCUGUCAAGACAAAGGGAUACUCAAGACACAAACCCAGAAUAAGAUGAAAGAACGGGAAGGGAAAAGGAAUGAGAGCAAUGAAGAAAGAAUUGAAAAGAAGAUUUACUGACAAGAAGUACCAAAACUUAUCUAAGCAGCAAACUCCCUAAAAAAUAAAAAUGGGCCAAAUGGAAGUCAAUGACUCCACAAAACAAUAAGAAAUAUUAUCAAAUAAAGUAAAAAGACUGAAAAAAAUAGAUGUGUUCAGGAAGCUAGUUAUACUCUUCCUUGGAGAAGAUUUUGGGCAAAGAAAGCAAAGUCUAGGAAGUUAGGGAAAAGAAUAAGGGGUUAUUUGAAAUCAUUGGAUUAUUUUUCUAGGUGUUUUCUCUUUUGCCUGAGCAACAGAGAAUAGGAGAGUGUAAUGGGCUGAAGCUUGAGUUGAUGCACUGAGGUUCUAAGUAUGCGAGGCUAAAUAGUAAUUGGACCAAACUCUAUUAAUAUAUAUGCUUGGAGAAAAAAUGGCCGCCGCCCACUCUUUGUGCAAGUCCUGAUGUGUUGUAUAGGAAAUGACGAUUUUGGUGGGUGGAGGUAGGGGAGUGAAAAGGGAAGCGGAAGGAGAGACUGCUGGCUGGCGUCUUGACACAGCUGCUUGCAUUGCUAUCGUGACCACCCUUCACUUCCAAUCCCCCUCUGCUAGCUGGCUUCCUGUCUGCCCAUAUUGCUAUUGCAAUCCUUCUUCACCUCUUCACUUCAAUAAAGAUUGAAGAUUUUUCCCUUAAUCUGAAUUCCUGACUCUGACUGAUUUUAAAUGCACAGUCAUCACACUUGGCGCCUAACAUGGGGCUGUUUUUCAUUCCCUGUGGCAAAACUGUCCAUUCAUAUCUUUUAUAAGACUUGGCUAAGUUAACGCUGGGCACUGAAAAGGCAAAUCUUUUUAUAUCCUCCUUAUCCAGAGGGAUGGAAUAGAAACAAUCCUUAAUAUCUAUGAUCCAAAGAGGCCAUUCUCUAGGCAAUUGAGUAAGAGAUGGAAGUCCAGGCUGAAGAGUUCCCAUAGUUUCCAUCUGUUCAUUUACUUUUCUUAAAUCAGUGAGCAUCCUCCAUUUUUCAGAUUUCUUUUUUACAAGAAGCACUGGGGAAUUCCAGGACUUAGAGAAGGUUGUAAGUGCCCUUGUCCAAGCUGCUCCUGUACUAUAACUAAUAAGGCCUGAAUUUUAUCACUACCUAAGGGCCACUGUUCUAUCCACACUGGUGUGUCAGUUUUCCAUUGGAUAGGAACAGGUGAAAGUAUUGGCAGGCCUUCAACAGCAGCCCUGCUUAAAAAAGCCGAAGUACUCAUUUUUAACCCUAAUUGCUGUAAAACAUCUCUUCCCCACAGAUUGAUGGGCA